rnacentral:rRNA from 1 species
CGCAUCUGUGCAUGCAGCAUAUCAAUAAGCGGAGGAAAAGAAACUAACAAGGAUUCCCUCAGUAACGGCGAGUGAAGCGGGAAGAGCUCAAAUUUGAAAUCUUGAAAGGUCACCUUUCACGAAUUGUAGUUUAAAGAAGUGUUUUCUGUUACGAUCGUAAUAUAAGUUCUUUGGAAUAGGACAUCACAGAGGGUGAGAAUCCCGUCUAUGAUUGCGAUUUGUAGUUUUGUGAUACACUUUCAAAGAGUCGGGUUGUUUGGGAAUGCAGCCCAAAACGGGAGGUAAAUUUCUUCUAAGGCUAAAUAUUGGCGAGAGACCGAUAGCGAACAAGUACCGUGAGGGAAAGAUGAAAAGAACUUUGAAAAGAGAGUUAAAUAGUACGUGAAAUUGUCAAAAGGGAAGCGUUUAACACCAGUGUUGUUUUCUGAAAAUCAACCUCUGUUAGCUUUAUGCAUGUUUGUUUAGACCUAAUCAGCUAUCUUGCCUGUUCUAUUGUUUGCAGUGGUGCACUUUUCAGUUUACAGGUCAACAUCAGUUUUUAUUACCGUAAAAAAGUUAAAGAAAGGUAGCUCAUGGCUCCGGUCGUGAGUGUUAUAGUCUUUUUCCUAUGCGGUAGGAGAGACUGAGGUCUGCAGUGUAGGCUAUUUGGCUAGAUACUCAGGUGCUAUGUGAUACCAUUUCAUAAACAACUUGUUGAUUAUGUUUUGUCUAUCGCAUACUCGCUUGUACUAUCAUACCUACGCUUAGGAUGUUGACGAUCAGCUGAGCCG